rnacentral:lncRNA from 1 species
CAAGUCCACAGGUAGAGUGAGGAAAAUCAAAGUUCGAUAAAGUUCUUUCCGGCACCUGUUCUGGUGUGAGCUAGCAGGCACCCUGUGAAAUUAGUCAAGGUGAGCAAAAGCUGGCCGGGACACCACUGGGGUAGGUAGUUGACCAUUAUUCUUUCAUUUCUCAGGAAAUGGAGAGUUGAGCUUUCAGAACCCAACAAGACACUCUUGUGUUAGUUAAUAAAGACAUUUUAACAAUCAAAACACAACUGCGAUUCAGUUCUUCAUCCAAAUAUAACAAACCGCAGAUAUCAACUAGACAUCCAUAUUUAUAGUUUCAGGAGAAAUUGAGCUUCCAAGACUUGGCAGCACGACCACUCACAACAAUCCAUAACAUUACAACUUGCGCUAAAUCUGCUAGCAGACGUACACACAACUAAAACAAAUAAAAAUUUUAUUCACAGCAAACUCACUAUGAGUUAAAACCAUCAGAUGACUGACUGGUCAAAGAUCACAACCUUGGCACCCACAGUCCCAACAUAAGUCUGCUAAAAAUGAAUUGCAAAAUGGAAGUACCAGCACAGAUCAUCAAAGAAGCCAAUACCCACAAAAUAAUAGUUUAAAAGCUAUCUAACAUGUUAGACAUGGCUCAUCAUUAUUACCCACGUAAAAACUGGAAUGCCAAAUGAAUCACUAAGAAAAUAACUUUAAAACAUACAUGCCUCGUCAUUAUUACCCACGUAAAAACUGGAAUGCCUAAUGAAUCACUAAGAAAAUAACUUAACAACAUAGAGUGACAUAUAUGUGCUCAAUGAACUCCAUUACACAAAGACACAGCACAAUAUUGUCAGCCCAAGAAUUUCGUACAGAAACUG